AUCAAUUUCUCCUAAAUCCUACCUGUCACCCGCCCUGCAGGAAACGGAGCUCUGGAGGGUAAACACAGCUUCUUCUGGAAGAGAUACGACAGCGUGCCCCCUUCCGCCCCCUCCCAUUUCACGGUAUAUUCCCACUAAUGAACCAAGGCUGGCUGUGGGAACUCCUGCAAGGAAAUCAACCCUAGGUCUACAGCCCAGCCUGGCCUUUGGGGGCCCCAGGGAAAGCUGCCAUAUUAAAGGGGCCCAUGCCCUCAUUGCUAGAGGAGACAAGGGAGCGAGCACUUGACUGCACCACAGAAAUUACUGCUGUACCUCGAAUGCCCGCUUCAUUUAUCAAUUUCAUAGCAGAAAAACCCAUAUGACUGCCUUGUUCAGUCGCACGCUAAAUCUAGUCACAGAAAGCUCCCCACUGCCGGUCAAGUGUGUUAUGCAGGGGCCUGGAAAAAGUAACUUGAAAUACCACUAAUGAUUUAUACUUAAUUGAACCUCUAAGUGAUUAAAGUGGCAGUAAUGAAUGAAUAACACCCUCUUCAUUCCCUGGCAGCCUGGGCCCAGCCUCUCCAGCCGGAGCUGCCCAUGCCUUGGGAAAGUCAGCGAAGAC
rnacentral:lncRNA from 1 species